rnacentral:rRNA from 1 species
UACGGGGGGGGUAAGCGUUGUUCGGAAUUACUGGGCGUAAAGGGCUCGUAGGCGGCCAACUAAGUCGGACGUGAAAUCCCUCAGCUUAACUGGGGAACUGCGUCCGAUACUGGAUGGCUUGGAUUUGGGAGAGGGAAGCGGAAUUUCCGGUGUAGCGGUGAAAUGCGUAGAUAUCGGAAGGAACAUCAGUGGCGAAAGCGGCUUCCUGGUCCAGCACCGACGUUCAGGCACGAAAGCGUGGGGAGCAAACAGG